rnacentral:rRNA from 1 species
GACGAACGCUGGCGGCGUGCUUAACACAUGCAAGUCGAGCGGUAAGGCCCUUUCGGGGGUACACGAGCGGCGAACGGGUGAGUAACACGUGGGUGACCUGCCCUCAGCUCUGGGAUAAGCCUGGGAAACUGGGUCUAAUACCGGAUAUGACUCCAUGACGCAUGUUGUGGGGUGGAAAGCCUUGUGCGGCUGAGGAUGGGCCCGCGGCCUAUCAGCUUGUUGGUGGGGUGANGGCCUACCAAGGCGACGACGGGUAGCCGGCCUGAGAGGGCGACCGGCCACACUGGGACUGAGACACGGCCCAGACUCCUACGGGAGGCAGCAGUGGGGAAUAUUGCGCAAUGGGCGAAAGCUUGACGCAGCAACGCCGCGUGAGUGAUGAAGGCC